UACGAAGGGAGCUAGCGUUGUUCGGAAUCACUGGGCGUAAAGCGCACGUAGGCGGCUUUCUAAGUCGGUGGUGAAAUCCUGGAGCUCAACUCCGGAACUGCCUUUAAAAACUGCAUCGCUUGAAUCCAGGAGAGGUGAGUGGAAUUCCGAGUGUAGAGGUGAAAUUCGUAGAUAUUCGGAAGAACACCAGUGGCGAAGGCGGCUCACUGGACUGGUAUUGACGCUGAGGUGCGAAAGCGUGGGGGAGCAAACAGG
rnacentral:rRNA from 1 species